AGGAACAAGAAAACAAACUCCCGUGUAUUUCCGGUCUGGCCCAGCCGAAGUCCAGGAACAGACAGGGAGGAGAGAGGUUGGCCUCCUUUCCAAGGCUUGGGCUCUGAUACCUUGAGAAGAUGGUGGAACCAAAAGAUCCCAAGCUCAGCCUCAUGGUGGGAGUGGCUAACGCAUUUCUGCAAAUAGCCGCCACAGGAAAUGCUGCGCAAUUGCUGGCCCUGGGCUUGGUAUCAGGAUUCCUCAUCAUCUGCUGGAAUAAGACUAGAGCAAACAAGAACCUGUAAAAUGUGUUGACAGGAAUCCUUUCCAAGCCCCUGGACAGACUGGGAAGGUUCCCCCUUCCUGGGGAAUGUGUGAAGAAACAUGCUUAUGCAUGGUUUAUAUCUUGUCAACUUUGGGGUAAAAUAAAAA